rnacentral:rRNA from 1 species
UACGGGGGGGGCAAGCGUUGUUCGGAAUUACUGGGCGUAAAGGGCUCGUAGGCGGCCAACUAAGUCCGACGUGAAAUCCCAAGGCUUAACCUUGGAACUGCGUCGGAUACUGGAUGGCUUGAAUUCGGGAGAGGGAUGCAGAAUUCCAGGUGUAGCGGUGAAAUGCGUAGAGAUCCGGAGGAACACCAGUGGCGAAGGCGACACGCUGGGCCGUACCUGACACUGAUGCGCGACAGCAUGGGGAGCAAACAGG